rnacentral:rRNA from 1 species
CGCAGCUAACGCAUUAAGCGCCCCGCCUGGGGAGUACGAUCGCAAGAUUAAAACUCAAAGGAAUUGACGGGGCCCCGCACAAGCAGCGGAGCAUGCGGCUUAAUUCGACGCAACGCGAAGAACCUUACCAAGGCUUGACAUAUACAGGAAUAUGGCAGAGAUGUCAUAGCCGCAAGGUCUGUAUACAGGUGGUGCAUGGUUGUCGUCAGCUCGUGUCGUGAGAUGUUGGGUUAAGUCCCGCAACGAGCGCAACCCUCGUUCUGUGUUGCCAGCAUUUAGUUGGGGACUCACAGGAGACUGCCGGGGUUAACUCGGAGGAAGGUGGGGAUGACGUCAAAUCAUCAUGCCCCUUAUGUCUUGGGCUGCACGCAUGCUACAAUGGCUGGUACAAACGGCUGCGAUACCGCAAGGUGGAGCGAAUCCGAUAAAGCCAGUCUCAGUUCGGAUUGGGGUCUGCAACUCGACCCCAUGAAGUCGGAGUUGCUAGUAAUCGUAGAUCAGCAACGCUACGGUGAAUACGUUCCCGGGGCUUGUACACACCGCCCGUCACAUCACGAAAGUCGGUAACACCCAAAGUCAGUGGCCCAACCGCAAGGAGGGAGCUG